rnacentral:rRNA from 1 species
UGGGGAAUAUUGCGCAAUGGGCGAAAGCCUGACGCAGCGACGCCGCGUGGGGGAUGAAGGCCUUCGGGUCGUAAACCUCUGUCAGGUGGGAAGAAAGUGUGUCGUGCCAAUCAGCGGCGCAUUGACGGUACCGCCAAAGGAAGCACCGGCCAACUCCGUGCCAGCAGCCGCGGUAAUACGGAGGGUGUAAGCGUUAAUCGGAAUUACUGGGCGUAAAGCGCGCGUAGGCUGUCAGUUAAGUCAGGGGUGCAAGCCCACGGCUCAACCGUGGAAUUGCCCUUGAAACUGGCUGACUUGAAUUCGGGAGAGGGUGGCGGAAUUCCAGGUGUAGGAGUGAAAUCCGUAGAUAUCUGGAGGAACACCGGUGGCGAAGGCGGCCACCUGGCCCGAUAUUGACGCUGAGGCGCGAAAGCGUGGGGAGCAAACAGG